rnacentral:rRNA from 1 species
UACAGAGGUCCCAAGCGUUACUGAGAAUCACUGGGUUUAAAGGGUGCGUAGGUGGCGCGUUAAGUCAGUUGUGAAAUCCCCGGGCUCAACCCGGGAACUGCUUCUGAUACUGGCGUGCUUGAGGCCAGUAGGGGUCACUAGAACUGACGGUGGAGCGGUGAAAUGCGUAGAUAUCGUCAGGAAUGCCGGUGGUGAAGACGGGUGACUGGGCUGGUUCUGACACUGAGGCACGAAAGCGUGGGGAGCGAACGGG